rnacentral:rRNA from 1 species
UAGAGUUUGAUCCUGGCUCAGAACGAACGCUGGCGGCAGGCCUAAUACAUGCAAGUCGAACGCACCUUUCGGGGUGAGUGGCAGACGGGUGAGUAACGCGUGGGAACCUUCCCUGUGGUACGGAAUAACUCCGGGAAACCGGUGCUAAUACCGUAUACGCCCUUCGGGGGAAAGAUUUAUCGCCAUAGGAUGGGCCCGCGUCUGAUUAGCUAGUUGGUGAGGUAAUGGCUCACCAAGGCGACGAUCAGUAGCUGGUCUGAGAGGAUGAUCAGCCACACUGGGACUGAGACACGGCCCAGACUCCUACGGGAGGCAGCAGUGGGGAAUAUUGGACAAUGGGCGCAAGCCUGAUCCAGCCAUGCCGCGUGAGUGAUGAAGGCCCUAGGGUUGUAAAGCUCUUUCGGCGGGGACGAUAAUGACGGUACCCGCAGAAGAAGCCCCGGCUAACUUCGUGCCAGCAGCCGCGGUAAU